rnacentral:tRNA from 1 species
AAAUUCUCUAGACACU